UACGAAGGGGGGCUAGCGUUGCUCGGAAUCACUGGGCGUAAAGGGUGCGUAGGCGGGUCUUUUAAGUCAGGGGUGAAAUCCUGGAGCUCAACUCCAGAACUGCCUUUGAUACUGGGGAUCUCGAGUCCGGAAGAGGUGAGUGGAACUCCGAGUGUAGAGGUGAAAUUCGUAGAUAUUCGGAAAGAACACCAGUGGCGAAGGCGGCUCACUGGUCCGGUACUGACGCUGAGGGUGCGAAAAGCGUGGGGGAGCAAACA
rnacentral:rRNA from 1 species